rnacentral:misc_RNA from 1 species
ACCAUCCAUAUCAAACAAGAACACCCCCUCUUCUUGCAUCUCUUUAUAAAUACGCAUAUUGCAACCCGACACUGUUUUCGAGUCUCAACCAUUAGUCCAAUUUUUCCUUUCCGUGACCCUGUAUACCUUUGUAUAUCUCGAACCCGCGUUUGUUUCUCCUAAUUACCAACCUCAACAAAAUGUACCAUUUUAGCACACCAUAUAAUUUAGCCCAUCUCAUUUGAGCACCACAUGAUGAGGAGCCACCUUGAAGAGUUGUUGUAAUUGCUCGUGAUUCUAAAAUCGAG